rnacentral:rRNA from 1 species
GACGUAGGGUGCAAGCGUUGUCCGGAAUUAUUGGGCGUAAAGAGCUCGUAGGCGGUUGUGCGUCUGCUGUGAAAACGCGAGGCUCAACCUCGCGCCUGCAGUGGGUACGGGCAGACUAGGGUGCGGUAGGGGAGAUUGGAAUUCCUGGUGUAGCGGUGGAAUGCGCAGAUAUCAGGAGGAACACCGAUGGCGAAGGCAGAUCUCUGGGCCGUAACUGACGUUGAGGAGCGAAAGCGUGGGGAGCGAACAGG